UACGUAGGGUGCGAGCGUUAAUCGGAAUUACUGGGCGUAAAGCGUGCGCAGGUGGUUUUGUAAGCCAGAUGUGAAAUCCCCGGGCUCAACCUGGGAAUGGCAUUUGGGACUGCAAGGCUAGAGUGUGGCAGAGGGGGGUGGAAUUCCGCGUGUAGCAGUGAAAUGCGUAGAGAUGCGGAGGAACACCGGUGGCGAAGGCAGCCCCCUGGGUUGACACUGACACUCAUGCACGAAAGCGUGGGGAGCAAACAGG
rnacentral:rRNA from 1 species